rnacentral:rRNA from 1 species
UACGAAGGUGGCAAGCGUUGUUCGGAUUUACUGGGCGUACAGGGAGCGUAGGCGGUUGGAUAAGCCCUCCGUGAAAUCUCCAGGCUUAACCUGGAAAGUGCAGAGGGGACUGUUCAGCUAGAGGAUGGGAGAGGAGCGCGGAAUUCCCGGUGUAGCGGUGAAAUGCGUAGAGAUCGGGAGGAAGGCCGGUGGCGAAGGCGGCGCGCUGGACCACUACUGGACGCUGAGGAACGAAAGCUAGGGGAGCAAACAGG